GUUUGUGACGAAACGGUACCGUCGGAGAAGGUAUUUUUCGAUUUAUUCAUUCAUAGUCUUUGUAGUUGAUAACUACUGCUAUUCGUUUCACUUUUUCUACAAAAAAUGUUCAGAAUUGCAAAUUUAAGACAAGGACGAGUAGAUCCUGCUGAAGAGGAGAGUAAAGCCAAAGCUCAUUGUGUCGGAAUUUUAUUCUGCUUCUUAGUGACUGUUGGUUUAAUAAGAGCUGCACCUCUUGCUAUUGAAUCGCUGAAAAGCUGAGAAUUUAAAUUAUGUCAAGAAGUUUCAUACAGAUUUCUACUCAUCUUACUGAACUCUUAGAAAACUUGAAAAUUCACGCUGUGUAUAGAAAACAUUAUGGAAUAAACUAAUUAUGUUAAACAUUG